rnacentral:misc_RNA from 1 species
UUCUUCUGUCUUCAGGGAUAGCUCUGUAGAGACAACGUACAUGUGUUGUACAAAACUGAGAAAGAUGAUGCUUCAAGUUUCAUGUAAUCAUGAAUUUCGAACACCUAGGAACAGAAAAAAUUGUCAAGUGGCCAAUCAAAGCGACAAUUCAAUCCUCACACAAGCUCCACCUCAACCUCAAGUUAUAUUUCAAACUCUAAUCUAUAAACAGUACACUCUAUACAGUGUUUCACACUAUCAUAUGCACGGCCUACGAACUAGAACAAUGCCAUGUUGCCGAACAAACAUAAAGCAAGCAAAAAAUGAGCUUAAUGAUGACUAAUCAUAACCAAUAACUUUAUCGAUGCCAUGUAGACUAUGGUCGAUUAGAUGAUUUAAAAACAUUAAGCCGUGAAAAGGUUUUUGGCUAAGCUAAAUUGGUUAGGUAGUUUAACUAGUCCUUCUCAGGUCCUGAGUUCAAAAUCUUAGUGGGAACGAAUUUCAGGAUGAGACCGAUCCUAGUGUAGAGACUAAGACGGCUUAAAACACAAGUAAAAAUCUAACAUAUAUGUGUGCCUCACACGGUAGGAGAAAGCAUAUCAUGGAGGUGGUCUUUUCACUCCCGACCGAGUUUUUUUAAAAAAAAAAAGCAUUGAUACCAUGACAUUGUAACAAAUGGAUCAAGUCAAGUAAUAAAUCAAUGAAUUAGGAAAGGUGAUAGCUACUAACGUGAAAGCCUCGGCUAUGUUCUUU